GCUAGCGUUGUUCGGAAUUACUGGGCGUAAAGGGCGCGUAGGCGGUACUUCAAGUCAGGCGUGAAAGCCCCGGGCUCAACCUGGGAACCGCGCUUGAGACUGGAGAACUAGAGUUCGGGAGAGGAUGGUGGAAUUCCCAGUGUAGAGGUGAAAUGCGUAGAUAUCGAGAGGAACACCUGCGGCGAAGGCGGGUUGCUGGGCUGACACUGACGCUGAAGCGCGAAAGCUAGGGGAGCGAACGGG
rnacentral:rRNA from 1 species